rnacentral:rRNA from 1 species
UAGUCCACGCCCUAAACGAUGUCAACUGGUUGCUGGGUGGUAAAACAUUAAGUAACGAAGCUAACGCGUGAAGUUGACCGCCUGGGAAGUACGGUCGCAAGAUUAAAACUCAAAGGAAUUGACGGGGACCCGCACAAGCGGUGGAUGAUGUGGAUUAAUUCGAUGCAACGCGAAAAAACCUUACCUACCCUUGACAUGCCACUAACGAAGUAGAGAUACAUUAGGUGCCCGAAAGGGAAAGUGGACACAGGUGCUGCAUGGCUGUCGUCAGCUCGUGUCGUGAGAUGUUGGGUUAAGUCCCGCAACGAGCGCAACCCUUGUCUUUAGUUGCCAUCAUUAAGUUGGGCACUCUAAAGAGGCUGCCGGUGACAAACCGGAGUAAGGUGGGGAUGACGUCAAGUCCUCAUGGGCCCUUAUGGGGUAGGGGCUUCACACGUCAUACAAUGGGUCGAUACAGAGGGGUUGCCAAGCCGCGA